AGAGUUUGAUCAUGGCUCAGGACGAACGCUGGCGGCAUGCCUAACACAUGCAAGUCAAGGGGCACUUCGGUGCCACUGGCGCACGGGUGAGUAACACGUAGGUUAUCUGCCCCCAUCACAGUGACAACCUCGGGAAACCGAGGCUAAACACUGAUGAGGCCGAGAGGUCAAAGCGAAAGCGGAUGGGGAUGAGCCUGCGGCUGAUUAGCUAGUUGGUGAGGUAAUGGCUCACCAAGGCGACGAUCAGUAACUGGUCUGAGAGGACGAACAGCCACACUGGAACUGAGACACGGUCCAGACUCCUACGGGAGGCAGCAGUGAGGAAUAUUGGUCAAUGGGCGCAAGCCUGAACCAGCAAUGCCGCGUGUGGGACGACGGGGCUUCGCCUUGUAAACCACUGUCGGAUGGGACGAGAGGGAGUAAGAACUCCUGGGACGGUACCAUCAAAGGAAGGGUCGGCUAACUACGUGCCAGCAGCCGCGGUAAUACGUAGGACCCAAGCGUUGUCCGGAUUUACUGGGUAUAAAGGGUGCGUAGGCGGUCUUGUGCGUCAGAGGUGAAAUAUCCGGGCUUAACCCGGAGGGUGCCUUUGAUACGGCAGGACUUGAGUGCGAGAGAGGAUGAUGGAAUUCCUGGUGUAGCGGUGAAAUGCGUAGAUAUCAGGAGGAACACCGGUGGCGAAGGCGGUCAUCUGGCUCGUAACUGACGCUGAGGCACGAAAGCGCGGGGAUCAAACAGGAUUAGAUACC
rnacentral:rRNA from 1 species